rnacentral:lncRNA from 1 species
UUUCACUUCGUUGCUAUCUUAACUUUUUCGAUUUUUUACUUCUUGCUUAAUAGAUCUAGUUUACCAGGUUUUUAGAUCUUCUUUGUUCAUUUGUGUUUCAUCUGCUCGUCUGGUUGUGUUUAAAGGUCGGCCAAGUCUUCUUUUUGGGGCGCGUCACUUGGAUAGUAUCUUGUUGUGGAGGCAUCUACUAGGUCUUUUCUUAAGUCUUUUGAGGUUGUGGAGGUCGUCGCAGUGGUGUCGAACUUCAGUUCUUCUCUUGGGAGGAGGUGAUUUUGUCUAUAAGAUGGAUUUGGACGGGUAGUAUGUCCCCAAUCAAAGGUCAAGGUAUCUAUAUCUUAAGCCUUAUUCUUCUCCACUGCGUUUCUUUUCUUGGUUGGUUGUGGUGGCCUUGUUACUGUGCUCUAUUUUUUUGGUCGUUCAUGUGUUCCUUUCUGCCAUUCGAAUGUUGGUUUAUGCUUGGUUUAGUACCUGAGUCGGAUCUUCAGGUAUGGAGGUUUGCUUCAGUUUGGUUCUUGUCGAGGUUCAUCAUUUUUUGGCUCAGCUUCGACAUCUUUAGUUUUUUUGGUUUAGUCGUGAGAGUACUUUAAUUCAAUUGUUUAGCUUUAGUAUGUUGGAUAAUAAUUAUUCACGUAAGUGGGGUAGGUAACAAAAUUUGUUGUCGAUUUACUUUACCUACCACCUUUUCUUUCCCUUGUAUACAUAUGUGUUGCAUAGCAAUAAGAAGUACUUAUUUCUUCCUCUCUUCUCGCACGUCUCUUCCUCUCUGAUGUAUAAUAUAUAACUUUAUAUAUAUACAUGUAUACAA